CAAAAUGUAGCUUAAUGAAAGCUUUCCGCUUACACCGGAAGAAUGUCCGUGCAACCCAGACCAUUUUGAG
rnacentral:tRNA from 6 species